UGAGAACAGGCUACAAUCUGGGACUAUGGACAAUUUGGCCUCGAUCUUGGUCUCCAUGAGGAAAAUACAGAAGUCUCGAGAAAAUGUGCUAGUCUCCGACUUGUAGGCACACUGCAACUGAGCCACUUAAGGCCUUAGUUAUUUUAUCUGCAUGUAUUUACAUUUUUAACACUCAUUCAUUAACUGCCGUGAUGUCCCAAAGUGUAUUGUAAUGUUUUAUUUUGAUGGAAAUGAGCAAAAUGUACUUUAAAUGCAAUGCUUUUUCAGUAUUUACAUGGUUAUAUAAACACCUGUUUGACGGGCACAAAGACCAAGGUGAGGAAGAAUCUGUCAGAGUUAUCCAUUCCUUACAGACCAUAAAAAUAACAGGGAGGCAAUUUGCCCGAAAUCACCUUGAAAAGAAACAAAUUAACAAGCCCGACCGCCUUGCCCAAGCGGCGCUUUGAUCAAACAGUAAUAGGCUGGGACGUUUCCUCAAGGCAAGGUUGAUUUUGACCAACUGAAGAGGAGGAGCUCAUCGCAGAGGAGUUCAUACAUUUUUUGCAUCUGCUUCCUCGUCACGGUCUGUGCAUCGCGAUCAACGACCCCAAGCGAGUGUCUGUCACAGACACAGCUCGGGCCUCACUGUCGGGGCACUUACGCUGCUUCGCUUCGUAAUCUCGCGGAACGAUCGCAGUUUGAUUAAAGCAGCAAUAAUGAAACCGCGCAAAAAAAAAAAAAAAAAAGAAAAAGAAAGAAAGAAAACUUUGAGGCGAACGAGAACAACGUCGUCGCUUUCGAGCCGGUGUUGGCGAAGGAGCCUGGGCGUACAGCAUCUGUCUGCACCCGAACGGAAAAAGGAAGCCAUCUUCCCCGUGACUUCAGUACGAAAGCAGCGAUUAAACGAUUGGCUGCCGGCUGUUUGCUUAGCGCGCUGUUCCAGCUCCUCGUACGACUGAGGCGGCGGCGGCGGCACAACGUUAUUAGCCCGCUAACGAGGCCACGCAGAUCCGGCAGCUCGUCUCGCGGGUGCUGGAGACGCGGGUCGGAAGACGAGCUGGUCUCUCUUCGGUCGGCUCCAGGACAGGUGAGCCACGGCGGGAAAUAAAUAAGGAUCAGCGGCCUCAGGGAGAUAGAAAUCUAAAGCCGGCCGAGUGCUUACCCUUGCCACUGGAGUAAGAUCAAAUGCACCGAAAGACGGAAUAGUUUCCCCUUGUGUCAGUGAUAAUGUCGCCUCUAUCGUAUGGGCUGCAAUUCCUGCAUGGUUCAACCCAAUAUGCAAUAUGUAAGCACCUGCAAAUUAAAGCUGACAGUGUUUUUUC